rnacentral:rRNA from 1 species
UUUUUAAAGCAAUUAAGGGCGUAUGGUGGAUGCCUAGGGUCUGAGAGGCGAUGAAGGACGUGGUAAGCUGCGAUAAGCUCGGGGGAACUGCACACAAGUAUUAUAUCCCGAGAUUUCCGAAUGGGACAACCUGCUAUACUGAAGGUAUAGCACUCAGCAAUGAGAGCCAACCCGGAGAACUGAAACAUCUAAGUACCCGGAGGAAAAGAAAAUAAACGAAUGAUUCCCUAAGUAGUGGCGAGCGAACAGGGAAGAGCCUAAACCAGCUUCGCGUGCGGAGCUGGGGUUGUAGGACUACUUUUAGAAAUCGUUAUCAAGCAGAAUCUUUUGGAAAAUUGAGCCAAAGCGGGUGAUAGCCCCGUAAGCGGAAAUUAACGAGGACGUGUAGUAUCCUGAGUAGGGCGGGACCGGAGGAAUCCUGCUUGAAUCUGCCAGCACCAUCUGGUAAGGCUAAAUACUCCUCAGACACCGAUAGUGAACCAGUACCGUAAGGGAAAGGUGAAAAGCACCCUGAAUAAGGGAGUGAAAUAGUACCUGAAACCGUACGCCUACAAGCGGUCGGAGUCCGCCUUUGGCGGAUGACGGCGUGCCUUUUGCAUAAUGAGCCUACGAGUUACUCCUCACUGGCGAGGUUAAGUUUUGAUAAAACGGAGCCGUAGCGAAAGCGAGUCCAAAUAGGGCGCUUAGUCAGUGGGGGUAGACGCGAAACUUUGUGAUCUAUCCAUGGUCAGGUUGAAGGUGUGGUAACACACACUGGAGGACCGAACCCGUUGACGUUGAAAAGUCUUGGGAUGAACUGUGGAUAGGGGUGAAAGGCCAAUCAAACUGAGAGAUAGCUCGUUCUCCCCGAAAUGUUUUUAGGAACAGCCUCGGAUUUUAGAAGUGUACUAGAGGUAGAGCUACUGAUUGGGCUAGGGGGCUUCACCGCCUACCAAACCCUGACAAACUCCGAAUGCUAGUACAUAUCUCCGGGAGUGAGGCUGUGGGCGCUAAGGUCCAUGGCCGAGAGGGAAAUAACCCAGAAUAGCAGCUAAGGUCCCCAAUACAUGGUUAAGUUAGACAAACGAUGUGAAAUUUCUAUAACAGCCAGGAUGUUUGCUUGGAAGCAGCAAUUCAUUUAAAGAGUGCGUAACAGCUCACUGGUCGAGAGAUUCUGCGCGGAAAAUAAUCGGGUAUUAAACCAUGAACCGAAGCUCUAUGAUUGUCCGCCUCGGCGGAUACAUCGGUAGGGGAGCAUUGAAACGGCGACGAAGGUGUGUGGCGACGCAUGCUGGAGCGGUUUCAAAAGAAAAUGUAGGCAUAAGUAACGAUAAAUAAGGUGAAAAACCUUAUCGCCGAAAGUCUAAGGGUUCCUGAUCAACGUUAAUCGGAUCAGGGUUAGCCCGGUCCUUAGUCAAACCCGAAAGGGGUAGACGAUGGAAAGCAGGUUAAUAUUCCUGCGCCUGCUAUGCAUUAAAAGUGACGGAGCAUGUUAGCUGCCUAGUCUGACGGAUUAGACGAGUGGAACCUUCGGGUGAAACGCAGCAGUGAGAGUGCUUCCAAGAAAAGCGAGCAUAGCAGCCGGUACCGCAAACCGACACAGGUAGACGGGAUGAGUAUUCUAAGGCGCUCGGGUGAGCCGUGGAGAAGGAACUAGGCAAAUUGAUGCUGUAACUUCGGGAUAAAGCAUACCACAGCGAUGUGGUCUCAGUAAAAUGGUUCAACCAACUGUUUAACAAAAACAUAGGGCCCUGCAAAAUCGAAAGAUGACGUAUAGAGCCUGAUACCUGCCCGGUGCUGGAAGGUUAAGGAAGGGUGUUCGACGCAAGUCAAAGCUCCUGACUGAAGCCCCAGUAAACGGCGGCCGUAACUAUAACGGUCCUAAGGUAGCGAAAUUCCUUGUCGGGUAAGUUCCGACCUGCACGAAUGGUCUAAUGAGUUGAACGCUGUCUCCUCCACGAGCCCGGUGAAAUUGUAGUAUCGGUGAAGAUGCCGGUUACCCGCCACGGGACGGAAAGACCCCGUGAACCUUCACUACAACUUUGCAUUGAUUUUGAAUUACGGAUGUGUAGCAUAGUUGGGACGCUAUGAAGCAGUGGCGCUAGCCAUUGUGGAGCGGUCGUUGAAAUACCAACCUUCUUUGAUUUAGAAUCUAAUGACGCGAGUCACACAGUGCAUGGUGGGUAGUUUGACUGGGGUGGUCGCCUCCUAAAGAGUAACGGAGGCUUGCAAAGGUUCCCUCAGUACGGUUGGUAAUCGUACGCAGAGCGCAUUAGUAUAAGGGAGCUUGACUGUGAGACAAACAGGUCGAGCAGGGACGAAAGUCGGCUAAAGUGAUCCGGCGGUUCUGUAUGGAAGGGCCGUCGCUCAAAGGAUAAAAGGUACUCCGGGGAUAACAGGCUGAUCUCCCCCAAGAGCUCAUAUCGACGGGGAGGUUUGGCACCUCGAUGUCGGUUCGUCACAUCCUGGGGCUGGAGAAGGUCCCAAGGGUUCGGCUGUUCGCCGAUUAAAGUGGCACGUGAACUGGGUUCAGAACGUCGCAAGACAGUUCGGUCCCUAUCUGUGGUGGGCGUUAGUAAAUUGAGAGGACAUGACCUUAGUACGAGAGGACCGGGUCGUACGUACCGCUGGUGUAUCAGUUGUGCCGCCAGGUGCAAUGCUGAGUAGCUAAGUACGGACAGGAUAAACGCUGAAAGCAUCUAAGCGUGAAACCUGCCUCAAGAUGAGUUUACUUUUAAGGGCCGUCAGAGACUAUGACGUUGAUAGGCUACAGGUGUAAAGGUGGUAACAUCAAAGCCGAGUAGUACUAAUUGCCCGUACGCUUUAAUUUUUUAAAU